UUUGGGCCCUUUGUCAGAGCAGAAA
rnacentral:piRNA from 1 species